rnacentral:rRNA from 1 species
CGGGGCUUAGCGCCGGAGCUAACGCAAUAAGCACUCCGCCUGGGGAGUACGACCGCAAGGUUGAAACUCAAAGGAAUUGACGGGGGCCCGCACAAGCGGUGGAGCAUGUGGUUUAAUUCGAAGCAACGCGAAGAACCUUACCAGGUCUUGACAUCCCGAUGCUAUUCUUAGAGAUAGGAAGUUACUUCGGUACAUCGGAGACAGGUGGUGCAUGGUUGUCGUCAGCUCGUGUCGUGAGAUGUUGGGUUAAGUCCCGCAACGAGCGCAACCCUUAUUGUUAGUUGCCAUCAUUAAGUUGGGCACUCUAGCGAGACUGCCGGUAAUAAACCGGAGGAAGGUGGGGAUGACGUCAAAUCAUCAUGCCCCUUAUGACCUGGGCUACACACGUGCUACAAUGGUCGGUACAACGAGUUGCGAGCCGGUGACGGCAAGCUAAUCUCUGAAAGCCGAUCUCAGUUCGGAUUGGAGGCUGCAACUCGCCUCCAUGAAGUCGGAAUCGCUAGUAAUCGCGGAUCAGCACGCCGCGGUGAAUACGUUCCCGGGCCUUGUACACACCGCCCGUCACACCACGAGAGUUUGUAACACCCGAGGUCGGUGAGGUAACCUUUUAGGGGCCAGCCGCC